rnacentral:sRNA from 1 species
AGGCGGGCCGUGUCAACCGGACGCGACGGAGAUGGAGGACAUGGACGUUUUUCCGGUUUCUUCCGGUGGCCAACGGAACGGCGGUUGAACUCUCCACCUGUCCGGUCC